AACGAACGCUGGCGGCAUGCCUAAUACAUGCAAGUCGAACGAGAUCUUCGGAUCUAGUGGCGCACGGGUGCGUAACGCGUGGGAAUCUGCCCUUGGGUUCGGAAUAACGGUUAGAAAUGACUGCUAAUACCGGAUGAUGACGAAAGUCCAAAGAUUUAUCGCCCAAGGAUGAGCCCGCGUAGGAUUAGCUAGUUGGUGAGGUAAAGGCUCACCAAGGCUACGAUCCUUAGCUGGUCUGAGAGGAUGAUCAGCCACACUGGGACUGAGACACGGCCCAGACUCCUACGGGAGGCAGCAGUAGGGAAUAUUGGACGAUGGGCGAAAGCCAGAUCCAGCAAUGCCGCGUGAGCGAUGAAGGCCUUAGGGUUGUAAAGCUCUUUUACCCGGGAUGAUAAUGACGGUACCGGGAGAAUAAGCCCCGGCUAACUCCGUGCCAGCCGCCGCAGUAA
rnacentral:rRNA from 1 species